rnacentral:tRNA from 1 species
GUCUUCGUGGUGUAGUGGUCAGCACGCUGGGCGCAUAUUCCAGAGGUCCGUGGUUCGAAUCCCGGCGAAGGCA